UACGUAGGGCGCAAGCGUUGUCCGGAAUUAUUGGGCGUAAAGCGCUCGUAGGUGGCUUGUCGCGUCUGCCGUGAAAGCCCAUGGCUUAACUGUGGGUCUGCGGUGGAUACGGGCAGGCUGGAGGCUGGUAGGGGCAAGCGGAAUUCCUGGUGUAGCGGUGAAAUGCGCAGAUAUCAGGAGGAACACCGGUGGCGAAGGCGGCUUGCUGGGCCAGUUCUGACGCUGAGGAGCGAAAGCGUGGGGAGCGAACAGG
rnacentral:rRNA from 1 species